rnacentral:rRNA from 1 species
UACGAAGGGGGCUAGCGUUGCUCGGAAUGACUGGGCGUAAAGGGCGCGUAGGCGGCCUGCUAAGUCGAACGUGAAAUCCCCGGGCUCAACCCGGGAACUGCGUCCGAUACUGGCAGGCUUGAAUCCGGGAGAGGGAUGUGGAAUUCCAGGUGUAGCGGUGAAAUGCGUAGAUAUCAGGAGGAACACCUGUGGUGUAGACAGCUUACUGGACCACUUCUGACGCUGAGACACGAAAGCGUGGGUAGCAAACAGG